rnacentral:rRNA from 1 species
UACGUAGGGCGCAAGCGUUGUCCGGAAUUAUUGGGCGUAAAGAGCUCGUAGGCGGUCUGUUACGUCCGCUGUGAAAACCCAGGGCUUAACCCUGGGCUUGCAGUGGAUACGGGUAGACUAGAGGCAGGUAGGGGAGAAUGGAAUUCCCGGUGUAGCGGUGAAAUGCGCAGAUAUCGGGAGGAACACCGGUGGCGAAGGCGGUUCGCUGGGCCGGACCUGACGCUGAGGAGCGAAAGCGUGGGGAGCGAACAGG